rnacentral:rRNA from 1 species
UGGAAAAGACUGAUUCGGGCUCGGCCCGAUCCUCCCACCCUUUGUGUACCUACCUCUGUUGCUUUGGCGGGCCGCGGUCCUCCGCGGCCGCCCCCCUCCCCGGGGGGGUGGCCAGCGCCCGCCAGAGGACCAUCAAACUCCAGUCAGUAAACGAUGCAGUCUGAAAAACAUUUAAUAAACUAAAACUUUCAACAACGGAUCUCUUGGUUCUGGCAUCGAUGAAGAACGCAGCGAAAUGCGAUAAGUAAUGUGAAUUGCAGAAUUCAGUGAAUCAUCGAAUCUUUGAACGCACAUUGCGCCCUUUGGUAUUCCGAAGGGCAUGCCUGUUCGAGCGUCAUUACAACCCUCAAGCUCUGCUUGGUAUUGGGCACCGUCCUUUGCGGGCGCGCCUCAAAGACCUCGGCGGUGGCGUCUUGCCUCAAGCGUAGUAGAACAUACAUCUCGCUUCGGAGCGCAGGGCGUCGCCCGCCGGACGAACCUUCUGAACUUUUCUCAAGGUUGACCUCGGAUCAGGUAGGGAUACCCGCUGAACUUAAGCAUAUCUAA